rnacentral:rRNA from 1 species
AUAGUGUAUAUUCACGUUGCUGCAGUUAAAACGCUCGUAGUCAGAGUGUGGGAGCUGGAGGGCAUGGGCCGCGGAGCAAUCUGUGUGCCCGCAUGUGCCUUCCCCCAAGCAUUCCUGGGAGUGGCUUGUUUCUUCGGAGGCAUGUCAGUGUCCAGGACGUUUACCUUGAAAAAUUAGAGUGUUCAAAGCAGGCAUUUUGCUUGAAUAUAUUAGCAUGGAAUAAUGGAAUAGGACCCUGGUGGAUCUUGUUUUGUUGGCUUUACUUGGCCGCGGGUAAUGAUUAAUAGGGGCAGUUGGGGGCAUUUGAACUGGGCGGUUAGAGGUGAAAUUCUUGGAUCCGCCCAAGUCAGACUAGUG